GUAGGUGAACCUGCGGAAGGAUCAUUUCCGAAACAAUUUCCCAUACAAACCAACCAUGUGAAACGUUGAUUGGCUUUACUGCGGUGUGCAGGAGUGUAAUAACCCCCUGGGCACUGCAGGCCUUGAUGAACUACCUUGUAAUCAAAGGUUUGAUCUAUUAUCGUUCUUUUUUUUUCUUUCUCUUUUUUAAAGGGGAAAAACAAAUACAAUAAUAUGACAACUUUUAACGGUGGAUCUCUUGGCUCGGGCA
rnacentral:misc_RNA from 1 species